rnacentral:rRNA from 1 species
UACGGGGGGGGCAAGCGUUGUUCGGAAUUACUGGGCGUAAAGGGCUCGUAGGCGGCCAACUAAGUCGGAUGUGAAAUCCCCAGGCUCAACUUGGGAACUGCAUCCGAUACUGGAUGGCUUGAAUCCGGGAGAGGGAUGCAGAAUUCCAGGUGUAGCGGUGAAAAUGCGUAGAUAUCUGGAGGAAUACCGGUGGCGAAGGCGGCAUCCUGGACCGGCAUUGACGCUGAUGAGCGAAAGCUAGGGGAGCAAACGGG